GCAGCACUGACAAAGAUGCGCUUUUGGGGACGGUGCAGCAUUGCGCAUUAGCUACGCACUAUCAGAAGGCUCUACGCCCAAAUGGGGGAGUAGUUGUGUUCUGGCUGAUGAAAAGGGCCUUGCAAAGACCAUCCAGACCAUCUCCUUCCUCAACCUUUUCUUCCCACUGGUGGUACCCCUGUCCAACCUCACUUCCUGGCAGAAUGAGAUCCACUCCCCUCACUCCAAAAGCAGCAAACCAACAAUCAUCAUCAUCAUGGAUCGAGAUCAGCUCAUUUGAUUUUAUUUCAAUUUGGGAAUGAAUUAUCAAGACAUACUUGCCCAGUGCCAGUGCUAUGGGGGAGCGGUUGUGGAGUGACAGAGAUACAGCUGAAGUUCAGAAGUUGACAUACACUUAGGUUGGAGUCAUUAAAACUAGUUUUUCAACCACUCCAUAAAUG